CCUUAGUUUAACUUUUUUACUUUAUCAACUUAAACACUUUUUGACUCUUGUAAUAACACUUAGCUUAAAACACAAAUACAUUGUACAGCUGCACAAAAAUAUUUUCUUUAUAUCCUUAUUCUGUGAGCUUUUUUCUAAUUAAAGUCUUUUGGGGGCUGAGUGGAGUGGCUUACGCCUGUUAAUCCCAGCAUUUUGGGAGGCCGAGUUGCGCAGAUCACUUGAGGUCAAGAGUUUGAGACCAUGACCUUGAAACCCCAACUCUACUAAAAAUAUAAAAAUUAGCCGGACAUAGUGAUGGGUGCCUGUAAUCCCAGCUACUAGGGAGGCUGAGGCAGGAGACUCUCUUGAACCCGGGAGUGGAGGUUGCAGUGGGCUGAGAUCACACCACUGGACACCACUCUGGGCAGCAGUGCUGAGACUCUCUCAAAGAAAACAAAAACAAAAACUUUUUUUUUACUCCUUAAACUUUUUUGUUUAAAACAAUAAAAGUAUAGCAAAUACAUAAACCAGUAACAUAGUCAUUUCCUUCAUUAAAAAGUACUAUAGGCCGUGCAGUGGCUCCGCCUGUAAUCCCAGCACACUGGGAGGCCGAGGCAGGCGGAUCACCUGAGGAUAGGAGUUCGAGACCAGCCUGGCCAACAUGGUGAAACCUUCUCUACUAAAAAUACAAAACUUGCCUGUAGCCCCAGCUACUCGGGAGGCUGAGGGCAGAGAAUCACUUGAAGCUGGGAGAUGGAGGUUACAGUGAGCGGAGAUCGUGCCAUUGCACUCCAGCCUGAGAGACAAGAGUGAGACUCUGUCUCAAAAAAAAAAAAAAAAGUACUAUUUACUGCACAUAAUUCUGUGUGAUAGACUUCUUUAUAUCACUGGCAGUGCAGUGAGUUUGUUUUCACCAACAUCACCACAAACAUGUGUGACACUGUGCAUUGCCUUAGGAUGGCUGUAGUAUCACUAGGCAGUAAGAAUUUUUCAGCUCCAUUAUAAUCUGAGGGGACCACCCUUGUAUAUGCAGUACAUUGUUGAACAUAAGCAGUUAUUCAGCCCUGACUGUUUCUUUUGAAAAGGGAACUCUGACAGCAGAGAAAGGCCUGGAUUUCUAUCAGAUGGGCUUCAACCCUUGAAGUUUCUCCAGGGCUUUGGGUAAAGGAAAGACAGAGUCCAUACACACACAGGAAUGGAUGCAGAGCCAGGGAAAGGAAGCCCAGAGCAGUUAUAGGAUAGUCUGAGAGCCCUUAAAGAUAUUCACUCACUUUGCAUUUUCCCAGGGGCCUGCCCUGCCUGAGUCUAGGUAGCUGGACUCCAAGUUCUGAGCAAUGGGCACAGUAAGAGAGAGAUCCAUGGGGGCCGUGGGCCUUCCUCUUUGUCCUGGAGCUCACAGACCCUCAGCCAAGCACUUGUGCCUGCAGAUGUCAGUGUGAGGAAGGGGCAUGAGCUGGUGAACAUCUAUUGCCCCGUCGUGGUCUCCAAUGCAGGGCUGUUCAACACCUAUGAGCACCUACUGCCGGGGAAUGCCCGCUGUCUGCCAGGUAAAGGCGGGUCUGCACUGCCCUCUUGCAGGUUCUAGCGUGUCCCCUUCUGGAGCCAACUUGCUCCAUCUGGGUCAUGCUUCCCCUCUUCUUGGCCGGCCCUCUGAUUGUACUUAAGCAACAAGGUGAGAACGCUGCUUCUAACAUCAUCCUAACCCUAGCAUUGAAUGUUGGGGAAACUGAGGCCCAUAGAUUAAUACAGUCCUGAGCCCACUCAGCUGAAAGGGGCAGGGCUGAGUGGAGUAGCUGGUCUGAUUUGAAAGCACCAGCUCCUCUCACCCUUCUGGGUUGAGGGGCUUCAGAGAAGAGGCCUCAGGAGGAGAAGCAGGAGAGCAGGCAGCCCACAGGGAGCAGAGCCGCUGAGCCACCGCGGCUGAGAGGUCCCGCCACUUCAUGUAACUGGAUGCAUCUGGUGUGAUCUGAGGAACGGAGGCCGCUGGGAAGGGCGAACUAGGAACCCAGCAGGGGUGAGAGAGAGGGGCCCAGAUGAAGGGCUCAGGCUGGGGCGGGAGCUGGAGAGCACAGAGCAGCUCCGGAUGUGUUGUGGCAGAAACCUUGGCUGGUGCAGGAGCCAGAGAGCGGGGGAAGGCCCUGACCCCAGAGGGUGGGCCCGGGAGCUGCUCCCUGAGGAACCGGGGAAGGGGACAGCAGAGCAGGCUGGGGGGUAAAGCGAGGUCCUGGCCUUCCUCAUGGGGACUGGGUGGUAUGUGAGUUAUGAUUGUCUCCAGGGCAUAGGGUGGCUCCACCAAUGCCAGCCUCUCUUUCCCUUGCCCCACGUGGCUGGGCCUACAGCCUGCAUGGCCUCCCCUCUCUCAGACCUGGGGAGCUGAGGGGGUGAGGCAGAGACAGCCCAGGGGCAAAGCAGGGGGGUUGGGCAUGGUGCACAGACAGGCUCUGCCUUUGUUACUUCCUGCCUUUCUCUCUGUGACACUGAUCUCCCUUCUCCCCUGUCCCAGGACCUCUGGGAACUGACACUGUCCUGGCCAGGCCCAGCAUCUUACCCAGGCAGCCCAGCUAGAGCCAUCUGUCCCUCUUGCCCUCCAUCCCUGUUCCUGUGUCUCUUCCUCCUGAAUACAACCUGAGGGCCUCACAAAUAUUUAGUUACACGAAUGAAGCAGGCCGGGCGCAGUGACUCAUGCCUUCAAUCCCAGCACUUUGGGAGGCC
rnacentral:lncRNA from 1 species